UACGUAGGGUCCGAGCGUUGUCCGGAAUUAUUGGGCGUAAAGAGCUCGUAGGCGGUCUGUCACGUCGGCUGUGAAAACACGGGGCUCAACUCCGUGCCUGCAGUCGAUACGGGCAGACUAGAGUUCGGUAGGGGAGACUGGAAUUCCUGGUGUAGCGGUGAAAUGCGCAGAUAUCAGGAGGAACACCGGUGGCGAAGGCGGGUCUCUGGGCCGAAACUGACGCUGAGGAGCGAAAGCGUGGGGAGCGAACGGAA
rnacentral:rRNA from 1 species